UACGUAGGUGGCAAGCGCUGUCCGGAUUUAUUGGGUUUAAAGGGUGCGUAGGCGGCCUGCUAAGUCAGUGGUGAAAGCUCCCGGCUCAACCGGGAAACUGCCAUUGAAACUGUCAGGCUUGAGUAUAAUUGAAGUGGGUGGAAUACAUCAUGUAGCGGUGAAAUGCUUAGAUAUGACGUAGAACUCCAAUUGCGAAGGCAGCUCACUAAAUUGUCACUGACGCUGAGGCACGAAAGCGUGGGGAGCAAACAGG
rnacentral:rRNA from 1 species